UUUCCUUAAUUUCUUAUUUCGCCAAACUAAUAUACUACAAUAUAUACACACCUUUUCCUUUCUCUCUCUAUAUGCCAUAGAUGACUGUUGUACAUUGAUCGUCGAUGAGCAGCUUUGCCUUCGUAUACUGCUGGUCGCAAAUGUACCCUAGAGAUACGCACCAAUUUACAGAUGCACAACGAGUGAGGGAGAAGAUUUGCCAAUUGCUUCUUCAAUUCCAUGGGUUAAUUGUAGCUAAAAUAUGCCCUAAUCUCUAUUUAUCUCUCUCGCGAAUUCGAGAGACCAGUGCAGAUGUUUUACCUCGGCUAUGCAAAAUGAAGUUCGAGAUUGGCAUAAGGGACGAGCUUCUUUUUACAGAAUUGCCUUAAGAACUGUAUACACCAUCUGGUCACAUUGUUCUGAACUAUACAAAAGUGACCGAAGAAAGUGUAUAUGAAGCAGUAUGAGUUGUCCGUGAAGGCCGGAUGAGAAUUGUUUCCUUUUCAAAUCUUAAGAUUUGUACCUGGGAAUUCUGUUGUUCUUUUCAAGAGGUUUAUGUUGAUCGAAGAUCAGUUACUCCCCAGGUCGAUAGACAUUACACCAGCUUUUCUUCUUAUCUGUUCAUCAAUUCGAGGUAGCAAUCCAUAAAUAUCAAGAUUUUGCUUAGAGUAGUUAGGGAUUGCUACGGAAAAAUUUCAAAGGAACUCUAGUCUCUAACAAUUUUUGAAGACAUCCUAGGAGGCCAACACAAGAAGAACCCAAUUGUGGUCACAUUGAGGGCACGGGAGCACGCCUGGGGGACCCAUUUUAAUCCCACAAUAGAACAAUCCCGUGUAUGGAAGGUUGCUUGGAAGCUUGCCUUGAUGAGAUGCCCGAGAGGUCCAAGUGUUGAAGAAUAAUUGUGAAGACCAAAAAGACUCAAGGAAAGUCAUAUGUUGAAGUGUGAAUAAUACCACAUCAAAACACUACAUGAUCACCCAUUCAUUAAGGGUGUAAUGGUCUUUUUAUGCUUUUUCCUUACACUCCAUAGGAGCCCCUUUUUUAUUAAGGGUAUUUUGGUCUUUAAUGUAAUAAGUAUAAAUAGACUCCUUAGGAUUAUUUUUCAUUGGACUUUGAUGAAAUUGGAUAUUAUUCUUAGAUUGUAGCUUUAGUCUUGUAGUUUUAGCUCUCAAACCCGAAAUUGGGUCCUUGAAUACUACAUUUAGAGUUAGGGUUUCACUUGUAUUGAGAAAUUUGGCAAGAAAGUUGUGCUUGAGGAA